rnacentral:tRNA from 1 species
UUGCAUUAGAAUUAGAAUCUAACUACACUAAAAUUACCCCUUUUUCUAUACUACUCACUACU